rnacentral:rRNA from 1 species
UGGGGAAUUUUGGACAAUGGGCGAAANCCUGAUCCAGCAAUGCCGCGUGUGUGAAGAAGGCCUUCGGGUUGUAAAGCACUUUUGUCCGGAAAGAAAUCCUUGGCUCUAAUACAGUCGGGGGAUGACGGUACCGGAAGAAUAAGCACCGGCUAACUACGUGCCAGCAGCCGCGGUAAUACGUAGGGUGCAAGCGUUAAUCGGAAUUACUGGGCGUAAAGCGUGCGCAGGCGGUUUGCUAAGACCGAUGUGAAAUCCCCGGGCUCAACCUGGGAACUGCAUUGGUGACUGGCAGGCUAGAGUAUGGCAGAGGGGGGUAGAAUUCCACGUGUAGCAGUGAAAUGCGUAGAGAUGUGGAGGAAUACCGAUGGCGAAGGCAGCCCCCUGGGCCAAUACUGACGCUCAUGCACGAAAGCGUGGGGAGCAAACAGGAUUAGAUACCCUGGUAGUCCACGCCCUAAACGAUGUCAACUAGUUGUUGGGGAUUCAUUUCCUUAGUAACGUAGCUAACGCGUGAAGUUGACCGCCUGGGGAGUACGGUCGCAAGAUUAAAACUCAAAGGAAUUGACGGGGUCAUAGCUGUUUCC